UAAUGUCGAACGCUUCUUUUUCCACCGGAGCUUGCUCCACCGGAAAAAGAGGAGUGGCGAACGGGUGAGUAACACGUGGGUAACCUGCCCAUCAGAAGGGGAUAACACUUGGAAACAGGUGCUAAUACCGUAUAACAAUCUAAACCGCAUGGUUUUGAUUUGAAAGGCGCUUUCGGGUGUCGCUGAUGGAUGGACCCGCGGUGCAUUAGCUAGUUGGUGAGGUAACGGCUCACCAAGGCCACGAUGCAUAGCCGACCUGAGAGGGUGAUCGGCCACAUUGGGACUGAGACACGGCCCAAACUCCUACGGGAGGCAGCAGUAGGGAAUCUUCGGCAAUGGACGAAAGUCUGACCGAGCAACGCCGCGUGAGUGAAGAAGGUUUUCGGAUCGUAAAACUCUGUUGUUAGAGAAGAACAAGGAUGAGAGUAACUGUUCAUCCCUUGACGGUAUCUAACCAGAAAGCCACGGCUAACUACGUGCCAGCAGCCGCGGUAAUACGUAGGUGGCAAGCGUUGUCCGGAUUUAUUGGGCGUAAAGCGAGCGCAGGCGGUUUCUUAAGUCUGAUGUGAAAGCCCCCGGCUCAACCGGGGAGGGUCAUUGGAAACUGGGAGACUUGAGUGCAGAAGAGGAGAGUGGAAUUCCAUGUGUAGCGGUGAAAUGCGUAGAUAUAUGGAGGAACACCAGUGGCGAAGGCGGCUCUCUGGUCUGUAACUGACGCUGAGGCUCGAAAGCGUGGGGAGCAAACAGGAUUAGAUACCCUGGUAGUCCACGCCGUAAACGAUGAGUGCUAAGUGUUGGAGGGUUUCCGCCCUUCAGUGCUGCAGCUAACGCAUUAAGCACUCCGCCUGGGGAGUACGACCGCAAGGUUGAAACUCAAAGGAAUUGACGGGGGCCCGCACAAGCGGUGGAGCAUGUGGUUUAAUUCGAAGCACGCGUAGAACCUUACCAUGUCUUGACAUCCUUUGACCACUCUAGAGAUAGAGCUUCCCCUUCGGGGCAAAGUGACAGGUGGUGCAUGGUUGUCGUCAGCUCGUGUCGUGAGAUGUUGGGUUAAGUCCCGCAACGAGCGCAACCCUUAUUGUUAGUUGCCAUCAUUCAGUUGGGCACUCUAGCAAGACUGCCGGUGACAAACCGGAGGAAGGUGGGGAUGACGUCAAAUCAUCAUGCCCCUUAUGACCUGGGCUACACACGUGCUACAAUGG
rnacentral:rRNA from 1 species